rfam:Spinacia oleracea cultivar SynViroflay scaffold35513.con0002.1, whole genome shotgun sequence.
UUUUCCUCUUCUGAGACACCUGAUAAAAUUGGAACGGUAGAGUGAAGUUUAGCAUGCGCAGGGAUGACACACAAAUCGAGGAAUGGUCCCAGUUUAUU